GACGUAGGGCGCGAGCGUUGUCCGGAUUUAUUGGGCGUAAAGAGCUCGUAGGCGGCUUGUCGCGUCGGCUGUGAAAACCCGCGGCUCAACUGUGGGCGGGCAGCUGAUACGGGCAGGCUGGAGUUCGGUAGGGGAGACUGGAAUUCCUGGUGUAGCGGAGAAAUGCGCAGAUAUCAGGAGGAACACCGGUGGCGAAGGCGGGUCUCUGGGCCGAUACUGACGCUGAGGAGCGAAAGCGUGGGGAGCGAACAGG
rnacentral:rRNA from 1 species